UACGAGAGCCUCGAGCGUUAUCCGGAAUUAUUGGGCGUAAAGGGUGCGUAGGUUGUUCUGUUAGUCUUUUGUUAAAGCCCCGAGCUUAACUUGGGAAUCGCGAAAGAAACGGCAGAACUAGAAAGUGUGAGAGGCGUACGGAACUCAUGGUGUAGGGGUGAAAUCCGUUGAUAUCAUGGGGAACACCAAAAGCGAAAGCAGUACGCUGGCGCAUAUUUGACACUGAAGCACGAAAGCGUGGGUAGCGAAUGGG
rnacentral:rRNA from 1 species